CGAGGCACAUCCCUUUAAGAACUCUCUGAUGUUGGCCAGGCAAUCCGCUUCAGUCCUCGGCUCCUGGCAGUACUAAAAAACGGCAAUUGCGAAAAAAUAAACCAUUAGCCGACCCGUAUAGUCAGUGAGAGGUCACUGGCAAGGCCCCCGGCAGCCGGUCGCGACAGCACGACGGCAGGAGGCAAGAGUCCAUUACACCGCAGCCGGACGGAGGCGUGUUAAGUUUCCGCGCAGUUGGGGCAAGCGAGCGCCGAUCGAUCCCCCUCUGCCUGCCUCCCUCACACUGGGGAGCUGUCACCAGGAAGACAGCCGUAAAGAGGAAGUGACGACACAAGCCCUCAGCCGGCUCGCGCUGCCACUCGCUCGCGGGGUGCAGUUUGCGCUGGGUCGCCACUGUGUACAAAACACCGAGGGGCGCUGGGAAAGGGACCCACAGCUGAGCAGUUUAAAACAGACCUGUGUUUUGAAAGCAGCCAGGGAGGGUGGAACCAGCUGUCCCGGUUGCGAUGCUGAGGCCGACACCAUCGCAUGUUUUAAGGAACUGCUGAUUCAGGCUCUUGGAUCAAUUAGCCACGAGUAAGAAAAGGAGCUAGUUCUCGUUCUGCACACUUUCUUCUGCUUUGCUGAGGUCCCCGAUGCCGCUCCUGGGCCUGAACUCGGGUCAGGUCGCCCCGCGCUAAUCUAAGUGUCCAGCCGGCAGCUCGGGCCGUAUCUCCUCAACAGAACUGCUUUGCAGGCCAGGACGCCUCAGCGAGAACAACAAGGCUCUCUUCUCCUGCUCCAGGCUGCACCGAGAGCUCGCCCUCCUCAUCGCCUCCCUCUGCUGGACUCGGCAGAGCCGCUGCCCUGUGGUCCACAGACUGUGAUUCGCCAGCUGUGACCAGGAUAUUCCAUUAGGUGGCACAAGACUGGCAGUGUCUGAGGGGGACACUCUGAUGGGCAGGACGGCCUGGCAUUAGUCGGCCUGAGUCUUCUGGUCCUGUGACCUGUCUGGCGCUGACAGGGACUGGUAUGCUCCUCAGAUCAGCGCUGACUCCUCCGUAAGGCACCACGGAGGUGGGUGCGUUCGGAGGGGGCGCGUCUGCGAGCCGGCCUGCUUCCUGUGCGGGACAGGAGUUGUAGCCUUUAGCCGAGUCUUCAACAGCUGCUGAAUCUGACUUGUGUAGUUUUACAACAACAACAACAACAACAACAAAAAAUCAUUGGUGGUUAUGAAUCUGGAGAUGGAGAUUCCCUGUGUCCUGUGGCUUCGGAAGAAUGCAAGGUCCGUGAGUCCCAAGAUGGGCAGUUUCUGGCUCCUGCAACAAGGUCCACAUGCAGGUCUCCAGUGAUCAGCACAUGGCUUCGAACCCCUGUCCAGAACCUACGCAUCUGUGGUCCACAUUGGCCGGUUGUGCCUUCAGCUUCCCCAGGUAUUUCCAUUGUCUCUGAGGGGCUGCAAAAGCACAUGGCCGACGUCCGUUCACCCAGCCCAUUCCUGUCAGAGAGGCCGGCCUCUCCCCCACACCCAGCUGCCUUCCACAGAGAUCCACAGCUGCCUUCUUUCAGGGAAGGUAAUGUUGUCUUGCCAUUUGCUGUUUGACCAUCAGAACGCCUUGGUACCCCCUCAUGGCGGUACAACACUGAUUUGGGGACUGAUUCUCCUGGAUGAGGGGCAACUCCAAGCUGAAAAACUAACUUUCAACUCCCAUAGCAAAAAGACAUCAGAAACGAAAAUUGUCCAGAAAUCGUGGUUCACACCUUCCCCCUUCUCUCAAUGACAGACUUUUUUUUUCGUGUAAUCUUCUCUAUGCACAGGCAGGUACUAACACCUCUCUCCAUUUUGCACCGCCUGAGUGCCCUCUCUGCCUCCCUUCUCUUUCACCAUGGAAUAAACCUAUCACUUGUUCCUUUGCAGCCUAUGCAUGCUGAUCCAGCUGCCCACCUGAACUACUCUAACUGAAAACUUUGUAUAUAUAUAUCCCUGUCACCCUGAAGUGUCACUUCUUCUUUGAGACAGUGUCAAGGUAGAGAAUUGUAAAUAAAGUGGCUCCAAAAAAAAAAACACAGGAGCACAAUAUAUCAAUC